AUGUUUCUACCUGAUGGGGAAAGAUUCUACACUUUCGGUUUAGCAGCUAUUUGUUGGGCAAUCUGGAAUUGUCGCAACCAAGCUACCUUUGAACAGAAAAAGCUUAAAACCCCCUUUGCUGUGAGCUUUUCAGCAUGUGGUUUCAUGUCUUAUUGGACAGGGAUGAUGAAUGAAGAAGAUCGGGCGAUGAUGGAACGGGGUUCCAAGAUGCUGAAGGCCAGUACUACAGCCAUGAUGAGGAUCUGUGCGGCGCCGGGCGAGAAGACACUGAACUGA
rnacentral:rRNA from 1 species